rnacentral:misc_RNA from 1 species
UCCGGCUUCCCGCCGGCAGUCUCCCGAGAGUCCCCGACAUUACUCGCUGGCAACAUGGGACAGGGGUUGCGCUCGUUGCGGGACUUAACCCAACAUCUCACGACACGAGCUGAGGACAGCCAUGCACCACCUGUGUAGGACCCCGAAGGACACCGUAUCUCUACGGCUUUUCCCUACAUGUCAAACCCAGGUAAGGUUCUUCGCGUUGCCUCGAAUUAAGCAACAUGCUCCGCCGCUUGUGCGAGCCCCCGUCAAUUCCUUUGAGUUUUAGCCUUGCGGCCGUACUCCCCAGGCGGGGCACUUAAUGCGUUAGCUACGGCACGGAACCCGUUGAAAAGGUCCCACACCUAGUGCCCAACGUUUACGGCGUGGACUAC